AUUUUUUUUGGGCUCAAUUCUUCUAUCUUAACUAUUUGCUAUAUCAUGUUAUGCCUUCUUAUCGUUUCCAUGUUUCAUAAGCCACGUUAACUUCAUGAAAAAUAAACCCUUAUAUCAUCCCUUUUCUCAGUACACAGUACUUGCAUCAUCCAUAAUUAACAGGCUAAAAAUUAUUUAUUAAACAGGCCAUCUCAUUCUAUUUUCUUGCCAAUUGGUGCUUUCUACUGUUUCUUGAACUGAA
rnacentral:misc_RNA from 1 species